rnacentral:tRNA from 1 species
AUUACUUUGGCAGAUUAGUGUGUUUGAUUUAGAAUCGAUUUAUGUUUUAAAAACAGGUAAUA